rnacentral:rRNA from 1 species
GACGAACGCUGGCGGCGUGCUUAACACAUGCAAGUCGAACGAUGAAGCCUAGCUUGCUAGGUGGAUUAGUGGCGAACGGGUGAGUAAUACGUGAGUAACCUACCUUUAACUCUGGGAUAAGCCCGGGAAACUGGGUCUAAUACCGGAUACGACCAAUCUCCGCAUGGGGUGUUGGUGGAAAGCGUUAUGUAGUGGUUAUAGAUGGGCUCACGGCCUAUCAGCUUGUUGGUGAGGUAACGGCUCACCAAGGCGACGACGGGUAGCCGGCCUGAGAGGGUGACCGGCCACACUGGGACUGAGACACGGCCCAGACUCCUACGGGAGGCAGCAGUGGGGAAUAUUGCACAAUGGGCGCAAGCCUGAUGCAGCGACGCCGCGUGAGGGAUGACGGCCUUCGGGUUGUAAACCUCUGUUAGCAGGGAAGAAGAGAGAUUGACGGUACCUGCAGAGAAAGCGCCGGCUAACUACGUGCCAGCAGCCGCGGUAAUACGUAGGGCGCGAGCGUUGUCCGGAAUUAUUGGGCGUAAAGAGCUUGUAGGGCGGUUUGUCGCGUCUGCUGUGAAAGGCCGGGGCUUAACUCCGUGUAUUGCAGUGGGUACGGGCAGACUAGAGUGCAGUAGGGGAGACUGGAAUUCCUGGUGUAGCGGUGGAAUGCGCAGAUAUCAGGAGGAACACCGAUGGCGAAGGCAGGUCUCUGGGCUGUAACUGACGCUGAGAAGCGAAAGCAUGGGGAGCGAACAGGAUUAGAUACCCUGGUAGUCCAUGCCGUAAACGUUGGGCACUAGGUGUGGGGGACAUUCCACGUUUUCCGCGCCGUAGCUAACGCAUUAAGUGCCCCGCCUGGGGAGUACGGCCGCAAGGCUAAAACUCAAAGAAAUUGACGGGGGCCCGCACAAGCGGCGGAGCAUGCGGAUUAAUUCGAUGCAACGCGAAGAACCUUACCAAGGCUUGACAUAUACUGGACCGCAUCAGAGAUGGUGUUUCCCUUCGGGGCUGGUAUACAGGUGGUGCAUGGUUGUCGUCAGCUCGUGUCGUGAGAUGUUGGGUUAAGUCCCGCAACGAGCGCAACCCUCGUUCUAUGUUGCCAGCACGUUAUGGUGGGGACACAUAGGAGACUGCCGGGGUCAACUCGGAGGAAGGUGGGGAUGACGUCAAAUCAUCAUGCCCCUUAUGUCUUGGGCUUCACGCAUGCUACAAUGGCCGGUACAGAGGGUUGCGAUACUGUGAGGUGGAGCUAAUCCCUAAAAGCCGGUCUCAGUUCGGAUUGGGGUCUGCAACUCGACCCCAUGAAGUCGGAGUCGCUAGUAAUCGCAGAUCAGCAACGCUGCGGUGAAUACGUUCCCGGGCCU